UCUCCACACUCGAGGCCAGUCUAGGUUACAAAGUUAGUCGACCAUUAUUUUUGGUCGAGUUGUCUCGACGCGUAUUUUCUAUCACCCUGGUGGGCAUAACACAGCCCAGACACUCGUUACGCUCUGAUUAAAAUGCGCGGUAUGCGGAAAAAGGUUUUGUAAAUGGAUAUCGACUGAUUCGCAAUUGAUUCGAUGUUACCCGUUUAGUAUAACGACGUGCAUCAUUAUCGAUGGACGAAUUGGAGAGGGAUUGAAAUCUGUCUCGAAAUAUUUUUAUGUUUAAAAACCGAUACGCCUCUUUUCAAUUCCUAAUGGAAUAAACUAUUCAUAGAUAUUUUUUCCUUGAUAAAAUUAAAUAUUUAAAAUCUAAAUCAAAUGUGAAAAAUAUAUUCAAUCUACAUUUUAACAUUAAUAGAUGAAAAUAAUUUAAUUGACCUACAAUCCAGGCUUAUCAGAAUCACAUUAUAAUGUGGUUACCUGUACCUAUAUCGAGCCGAUAUUCCGGAACUCACGCCAUUUGUUACACGGGAGAUGGACGAACGCACGAUUGCAUACAUAAAUCUACACACAAAUACAUAUACCGAUGCUGUGCACCGAGUUAUUAAACGAUUUCGCCGAGUAUCAGCAUCCACCUGCGCACGACGCGUAUCUCUCGCCCGUUGACCUGGUUCCAUUGCACAUCGAGUUAUGAACCACGAGACACGGCUAUCAACUGAAGAUAAAACUUUUACGGUGUCCCCUUGGACACCAUGGCAGUACAACACGCGCCCCCAACUCGGAAACUAUGUUAUCGACACACCAACGUUGCAUAACAUUGGAGGAAGUGUAAACUUGUGUGCCACGGAUCGUUGCAUUCCUCCGCGAAUGAACGAUUUCACGAGUUUAUCUCGACAACAACUAUGUAUAUCGGUAAUUCAAGCUAAAAAGAAAGAAAAAAAGAAGCGAAAUCGACGUUCGUUGUUUGAAUAAAUUAUGAAAUAAAACGAUUGUAUUAAUUUUAUUAAUUUGUAUGUGAAGUUAAAUUUCCAUCAUUUUUGAAAGUAAAAAUAAACUUUCAACUGUAUUAUAACAAUAACAAUUAUAUUUAUACUCUUUUUUUAUUAUCAAUACACAUUGAUGCUCAAGAAAUAUAUCGUUUUUUAAUCAGAAAUAAUA